rnacentral:rRNA from 1 species
AUUGAACGCUGGCGGCAGGCUUAACACAUGCAAGUCGAGCGGUAGCACAGGGGAGCUUGCUCCCUGGGUGACGAGCGGCGGACGGGUGAGUAAUGUCUGGGAAACUGCCUGAUGGAGGGGGAUAACUACUGGAAACGGUAGCUAAUACCGCAUAACGUCGCAAGACCAAGAGGGGGACCUUCGGGCCCCUUGCCAUCAGAUGUGCCCAGAUGGGAUUAGCUAGUAGGUGGGGUAAUGGCUCACCUAGGCGACGAUCCCUAGCUGGUCUGAGAGGAUGACCAGCCACACUGGAACUGAGACACGGUCCAGACUCCUACGGGAGGCAGCAGUGGGGAAUAUUGCACAAUGGGCGCAAGCCUGAUGCAGCCAUGCCGCGUGUGUGAAGAAGGCCUUCGGGUUGUAAAGCACUUUCAGCGAGGAGGAAGGUGGUGAGCUUAAUACGUUCAUCAAUUGACGUUACUCGCAGAAGAAGCACCGGCUAACUCCGUG